rnacentral:lncRNA from 1 species
CUGUCACUCCGAAAUCUGGAGAUAGCCGCUGCCUUCGCCGUUGCUGAAAAUGGAGGACCAGCGAGCUUCGUCGCUGCUAUACGAUUUCCGGCGAGGGUCGUGACCAUCGUCUCCAGUCCGUCUGUCCUUGCUCCGGUGAUUAGCCAUCGGCUUCGUUCUCCAUGGUUCGCCGUCAUCUGUGAGUUGCCAGCUAGCGCGAUGUAGCCAUCCUGUUUAGUCGACGGAGUUCUCGCCGUCGUCGUUUCGAUCCUGGUGUCCGGCAGUCAGCCACCUUCCCCGUUCGAAGCUAAGUCUAAACUAUUCUACUGUAACCUUGGUUUUCUUAAAAAAAAAAAGGUUGUUCAAGUGAUAUAGUAGAGCUAUAUACUAAGUCCAU